rnacentral:rRNA from 1 species
GAUGAACGCUAGCGGCAGGCCUAAUACAUGCAAGUCGGACAGGAUUGGAGAGCUUGCUUUCCAUGAGAGUGGCGCACGGGUGCGUAACACGUAUGUAACCUACCUUGUUCAGGGGGAUAGCCUCUCGAAAGAGAGAUUAAGACCGCAUAACAUUGCGAUGUGGCAUCACAUUGUAAUCAAAUAUUUAUAGGAACAAGAUGGGCAUGCGGAACAUUAGCUAGUUGGGAAGGUAACGGCUUACCAAGGCUACGAUGUUUAGGGGAUCUGAGAGGAUGACCCCCCACACUGGUACUGAGACACGGACCAGACUCCUACGGGAGGCAGCAGUAAGGAAUAUUGGUCAAUGGGCGGAAGCCUGAACCAGCCAUGCCGCGUGCAGGAAGACGGCCCUAUGGGUUGUAAACUGCUUUUGCAGGGGAAUAAACCUUGGUACGUGUACCAAGCUGAAUGUACUCUGAGAAUAAGGAUCGGCUAACUCCGUGCCAGCCGCCGCGGUAA